rnacentral:rRNA from 1 species
UGGGGAAUUUUGGACAAUGGGCGCAAGCCUGAUCCAGCAAUGCCGCGUGUGUGAAGAAGGCCUUCGGGUUGUAAAGCACUUUUGUCCGGAAAGAAAUCCGUCUGGCUAAUACCCGGACGGGAUGACGGUACCGGAAGAAUAAGCACCGGCUAACUACGUGCCAGCAGCCGCGGUAAUACGUAGGGUGCGAGCGUUAAUCGGAAUUACUGGGCGUAAAGCGUGCGCAGGCGGCUUUGUAAGACAGAUGUGAAAUCCCCGGGCUCAACCUGGGAACUGCAUUUGUGACUGCAAGGCUAGAGUGCGUCAGAGGGAGGUGGAAUUCCGCGUGUAGCAGUGAAAUGCGUAGAGAUGUGGAGGAACACCGAUGGCGAAGGCAGCCCCCUGGGCCUGUACUGACGCUCAUGCACGAAAGCGUGGGGAGCAAACA